CUGCUUCAGCAGCACAUAUACUGAAAUUGGAAUGAUACAGAGAUCAUUAGCAAGGCCCAGUGCAAGAAUAACACACAAAUUUGUGAGGCAUUUCAUAUUUAA
rnacentral:snRNA from 1 species